CUGGUCAUCUUAGUAGACGUCCUGUGAUAGCAGAGAGUGGAUGACGUCAAGUCCUCAUUGGCCUUACGUGUUGGGCUACACACGUGCUACAAUGGCAGUGACAAUGCUAAACAGCGAUGUUAAGCUAAACNAAAAACCUGCCUCAGUUCGGAUUGCACUCUGCAACUCGAGUGCAUGAAGCUGAAUGCUAGUAAUGCUCAUUCAGGHGGAGHGGUGAAUACGUUCCCGGGUCUU
rnacentral:rRNA from 1 species